AAGCCAAGUUGUAAUGACAGUAAUGCAUUGUCCUUGCUCUGAACAGGUGUUUUGGAGAGAAGACACAUGGAAGACACUUUUGCCUCCCCUCCAAAUCACCAGAGUGAGGGUGGCUUUUGCAGCAGAUGGAAAUAUUCAUGAAAAGUAUCCCCACUUCAGCACAGCUCUACUGAAACCCCACUUGACCAUCAAUACCUGAAUGGGAAACUUCUGUGAAUGAGAGUGUGGCUUUGCCUUGUUUAGAGCAGCUUCAUGUAAGUGGAAUUUAAAUGUGCCAGGUGUUGAACAUGUAAUAUUUGAACAUAGAUCAUUCUUAUCACCACUGAAGCAUCACCUUUUGCAAACAGGAUGAAACAUUUGGUGAUGUUACCUUGAGUUUUAUGUGAAAGCCAUGUAAACAACAGCAGCGGCAACAAGGCCAUCUCAACAUCUGACAAAUGAACAGCUCUGAGGAGGACACUUCACUGCAAUCAGAAAGAAUCCCUCAUUCUUUUGGGGAUGAAAUCCAAAAAGAGUAACUAAAAUGGCGGGAAGGGGGCUGAAGCCCCUUCCCUAUACAGAGAGGCUAAAUAAUGAAUAAGGCAAAUAUUUAUAUGCCGCUUUUCAACGGAAAUUUCCUGUGUUGCUUGAAUAAACACCAGUUACUGCA